rnacentral:lncRNA from 1 species
UUUGAAGUAUUAUUACCCAUUUUUGAACCUUAGCCUUAAACAGUAUGCGAACCCUUGUUUUGAAAUUGUUUACCUUGAGUUGGGAUGAGCUUAAUUGUAUGUCAUGAAAAGGUUCAAGUUUGGGGUUGUACGGGGGAAAAUUGAAAAAGCAAGUAAAAGGCAUUGAGCUCAAUUGUUGAAAAAAAAUAAAAAUAAAAUAAAAUAAAAGAAAAGAAGAAAAGCAUGAAGAUGAGCUCAAUGAAGAAGAAAAGAAAAGGGAAGAAGUUAGGAAUGAGAGACGUUGGCGAGAGGGUUGUACUUGAAUGUUGAAUAUUUUAAUAGCUCUCUUGACUCAAGGAUUUUGCAUUCUAGAAAAACCAAUUCUUUCUUGUUAGCCCAACCUCAUUACAAGCCUUGAAAAAGUCCUUUUGAUGACAUUUGCAUGUAAAGAUGUUGAUUGUUUAAGAUGAAUGACAAUUUUGUUUCAUGUGACUUGUGAGCAAGUGAGAG